rnacentral:rRNA from 2 species
UUAAGUUAAAAAGGGCGCAUGGUGAAUGCCUUGGCACUAGAAGCCGAUGAAGGACGGGACUAACACCGAUAUGCUUCGGGGAGCUGUACGUAAGCUUUGAUCCGGAGAUUUCCGAAUGGGGAAACCCAGCAGCUUUAAUCAGCUGUUACUAUAUAGUGAAUUCAUAGCUAUAUAGAGGUAGACGUGGGGAACUGAAACAUCUCAGUACCCACAGGAGCAGAAAGAAAUUUCGAUUCCCUAAGUAGCGGCGAGCGAACGGGGAACAGCCCAAACCAACGAGCUUGCUCGUUGGGGUUGUAGGACUGAACAUUUGAGUUACCAAAGUUGUUGAUAAUCGAACAAUCUGGGAAGGUUGGCGAAACAGGGUGAUAGCCCCGUAGGUGAAAUCAAUGACCCUCAGUUCAGGAUCCUGAGUACGGCGACACACGUGAAACGUCGUCGGAAUCCGGGAGGACCAUCUCCCAAGGCUAAAUACUCUCUAGUGACCGAUAGUGAACCAGUACCGUGAGGGAAAGGUGAAAAGCACCCCGGAAGGGGAGUGAAAUAGUUCCUGAAACCAUGUGCCUACAAGCAGUUAGAGCCCGUUAAUGGGUGAUAGCGUGCCUCUUGUAGAAUGAACCGGCGAGUUACGGUAACAUGCAAGGUUAAGGUUUAAAAGCCGGAGCCGCAGCGAAAGCGAGUCUGAAAUGGGCGUUUGAGUAUGUUGCUGUAGACCCGAAACCAGGUGAUCUACCCAUGUCCAGGCUGAAGGUGCGGUAAAACGCACUGGAGGGCCGAACCCGUGUACGUUGAAAAGUGCUGGGAUGAGGUGUGGGUAGCGGUGAAAUUCCAAACGAACUUGGAGAUAGCUGGUUCUCUCCGAAAUAGCUUUAGGGCUAGCCUCGGACGUAGAAUCAUGGAGGUAGAGCCACUGUUUGGAUGAGGGGCCCGUCAUGGGUUACUAAGUUCAGAUAAACUCCGAAUACCAUUGAUUUUUAUCCGGGAGUCAGACGGUGAGUGAUAAGAUCCAUCGUCAAAAGGGGAACAGCCCAGACCACCAGUUAAGGUCCCUAAAUAUAUGCUAAGUGGAAAAGGAUGUGGAGUUGCAUAGACAACUAGGAUGUUGGCUCAGAAGCAGCCAUCAUUUAAAGAGUGCGUAAUAGCUCACUAGUCGAGUGAUUCCGCGCCGAAAAUUUACCGGGGCUAAGCAUAUUACCGAGACUGUGGACUUGACCUUUGGUCAAGUGAUAGGAGAGCGUUCUAAGGGCAAUGAAGCCAGACCGUAAGGACUGGUGGAGCGCUUAGAAGUGAGAAUGCCGGUAUGAGUAGCGAAAGAUCAGUGAGAAUCUGAUCCACCGAAUGACUAAGGUUUCCUGGGGAAGGCUCGUCCUCCCAGGGUUAGUCGGGACCUAAGCCGAGGCCGAAAGGCGUAGGCGAUGGAUAACAGGUUGAGAUUCCUGUACUAGUUGAUGAUGUUUGAGCGAUGGAGGGACGCAGGAGGCUAAGUUGUGCAUCCAGUUGGAAAGGGAUGUUCAAGCAACGAGUCAGUCAAUGAGUUAAAUGCUUAUUGGCGGGUUGACAAGUUGUGAUGAGGACCGAAAUUUAAGUAGGGAAGCAACCGACGUCACACUGCCGAGAAAAGCUUCUAGUGAGUCAUCAACUACCCGUACCGCAAACCGACACAGGUAGUCGAGGAGAGAAUCCUCAGGUGAGCGAGUGAACUCUCGUUAAGGAACUCGGCAAAAUGACCCCGUAACUUCGGGAGAAGGGGUGCUGUGCGCAAGCACAGCCGCAGUGAAAAGGCCCAGGCGACUGUUUAUCAAAAACACAGGUUUCUGCAAAAUCGUAAGAUGACGUAUAGGGGCUGACGCCUGCCCGGUGCUGGAAGGUUAAGUGGAUGAGUUAGCUUCGGCGAAGCCCAGAAAUGAAGCCCCAGUAAACGGCGGCCGUAACUAUAACGGUCCUAAGGUAGCGAAAUUCCUUGUCGGGUAAGUUCCGACCCGCACGAAAGGCGUAACGAUCUGGGCACUGUCUCAACGAGAGACUCGGUGAAAUUAAGAUACCUGUGAAGAAGCAGGUUACCCGCGACAGGACGGAAAGACCCCAUGGAGCUUUACUGUAGCUUGAUAUUGGGUGUUGACACAGCUUGUACAGGAUAGGUAGGAGCCAUUGAAGCCGGAACGCUAGUUUCGGCAGAGGCGUUGGUGGGAUACUACCCUCGCUGUGUGAACACUCUAACCCGCGCCACUCAGCGUGGCGGGAGACAGUGUCAGGUAGGCAGUUUGACUGGGGCGGUCGCCUCCCAAACAGUAACGGAGGCGCCCAAAGGUUCCCUCAGAAUGGUUGGAAAUCAUUCAACGAGUGUAAAGGCAGAAGGGAGCUUGACUGCGAGACAGACAGGUCGAGCAGGGACGAAAGUCGGGCUUAGUGAUCCGGUGGUACCGUAUGGAAGGGCCAUCGCUCAACGGAUAAAAGCUACCCUGGGGAUAACAGGCUUAUCUCCCCCAAGAGUCCACAUCGACGGGGAGGUUUGGCACCUCGAUGUCGGCUCAUCGCAUCCUGGGGCUGUAGUCGGUCCCAAGGGUUGGGCUGUUCGCCCAUUAAAGCGGUACGCGAGCUGGGUUCAGAACGUCGUGAGACAGUUCGGUCCCUAUCCGUCGCGGGCGUAGGAAAUUUGAGAGGAGCUGUCCUUAGUACGAGAGGACCGGGAUGGACAUACCGCUGGUGUACCAGUUGCGCCGCCAGGCGCACCGCUGGGUAGCUACGUAUGGAUGAGAUAAACGCUGAAAGCAUCUAAGUGUGAAACUCACCUCAAGAUGAGAUUUCCCAUUCCUAUAUGGAAGUAAGACCCCUGAGAGAUGAUCAGGUAGAUAGGUUGGAAGUGGAAGUGCAGUGAUGUACGGAGCGGACCAAUACUAAUCGGUCGAGGACUUAACC